rnacentral:rRNA from 1 species
AACGAACGCUGGCGGCAGGCUUAACACAUGCAAGUCUAACGGUUGUAGCAAUACAGCAGUGGCAGACGGGUGAGUAACACGUGGGAACCUUCCUAGGGGUACGGAACAACUCAGGGAAACUUGAGCUAAUACCGUAUACGUCCGUGAGGAGAAAGAUUUAUCGCCCUUAGACGGGCCCGCGUCGGAUUAGCUAGUUGGUGGGGUAACGGCCUACCAAGGCGACGAUCCGUAGCUGAUCUUAGAGGAUGAUCAGCCACACUGGGACUGAGACACGGCCCAGACUCCUCCGGGAGGCAGCAGUGGGGAAUCUUGGACAAUGGGCGCAAGCCUGAUCCAGCCAUGCCGCGUGAGUGAAGAAGGUCUUCGGAUUGUAAAGCUCUUUUGCCAGGGACGAUAAUGACGGUACCUGGAGAAUAAGCCCCGGCAAACUUCGUGCCAGCCGCCGCAGUAA